AUGUAAACAAAGGGUAAAAUUGGUUUAUAUUAGAGCAGCUGAUCAAAUAUUUUAGACUUUGGAGAGAAAGGGAAGGGAGAGAAAGGGAAGGGAGAGAAACAUCUCAAUAGGGAAGGAUUUGGUUAUAUCAUGCUGGUUUACCCCAAGACACAAGCUUGUUUAUCAAACAGGCCACUUUCUUUGAUGCUGAAAGCUAUUAGAUGCAUUCUUCGGGACAUUUGAUUGGAAAAGAACGGUAGAUUUUUUUCCAAAUGUGAGCAGAGACAGUGGAAUGAUGUGGGGUGGGGGAACAUUAUUUGUAUAGCUUCGUCUUGGUCUUACUUGAAUAGGCCUUUUAUAGCUUUGAUCUUUUUCUAUGAUAUCUACCAAUUGCAGCAAUUUUUGUUGUUCUAUUGGUUUUUCCA